AGCAUGGUCUUAGCUUGCUAAGGCCGAUGGCGACCGGCGCACGGGUGAGUAACACGUAUCCAACCUGCCGUCUACUCUUGGACAGCCUUCUGAAAGGAAGAUUAAUACAAGAUGGCAUCAUGAGUUCACAUGUUCACAUGAUUAAAGGUAUUCCGGUAGACGAUGGGGAUGCGUUCCAUUAGAUAGUAGGCGGGGUAACGGCCCACCUAGUCUUCGAUGGAUAGGGGUUCUGAGAGGAAGGUCCCCCACAUUGGAACUGAGACACGGUCCAAACUCCUACGGGAGGCAGCAGUGAGGAAUAUUGGUCAAUGGGCGAGAGCCUGAACCAGCCAAGUAGCGUGAAGGAUGACUGCCCUAUGGGUUGUAAACUUCUUUUAUAAAGGAAUAAAGUCGGGUAUGGAUACCCGUUUGCAUGUACUUUAUGAAUAAGGAUCGGCUAACUCCGUGCCAGCAGCCGCGGUAAUACGGAGGAUCCGAGCGUUAUCCGGAUUUAUUGGGUUUAAAGGGAGCGUAGAUGGAUGUUUAAGUCAGUUGUGAAAGUUUGCGGCUCAACCGUAAAAUUGCAGUUGAUACUGGAUAUCUUGAGUGCAGUUGAGGCAGGCGGAAUUCGUGGUGUAGCGGUGAAAUGCUUAGAUAUCACGAAGAACUCCGAUUGCGAAGGCAGCCUGCUAAGCUGCAACUG
rnacentral:rRNA from 1 species